GAAAUGCGAUAAGUAAUGUGAAUUGCAGAAUUCAGUGAAUCAUCGAAUCUUUGAACGCACCUUGCGCUCCCUGGUAUUCCGGGGAGCAUGCCUGUUUGAGUGUCAUGGUAUCCUCAACCUUCAUAACUUUUUUGUUAUCGAAGGCUUGGACUUGGAGGUUGUGCUGGCUUCUAGUCGUGUCGGCUCCUCUUAAAUGUAUUAGCGUGAGUGUAACGGAUCGCUUCGGUGUGAUAAUUAUCUGCGCCGUGGUCGUGAAGUAACAUAAGCUUGCGCUUCUAACCGUCCUUCAGUUGGACAACUUACUUUGACAUCUGACCUCAAAUCAGGUAGGACUACCCGCUGAACUUAAGC
rnacentral:misc_RNA from 1 species